rnacentral:rRNA from 1 species
UACGUAGGGUGCAAGCGUUGUCCGGAAUUAUUGGGCGUAAAGAGCUCGUAGGCGGUCUGUCGCGUCUGCUGUGAAAACUCAGGGCUUAACCCUGGGCCUGCAGUGGGUACGGGCAGACUAGAGUGCGGUAGGGGAGACUGGAAUUCCUGGUGUAGCGGUGAAAUGCGCAGAUAUCAGGAGGAACACCGGUGGCGAAGGCGGGUCUCUGGGCCGUAACUGACGCUGAGGAGCGAAAGCAUGGGUAGCGAACAGG